UACGGAGGGGGCUAGCGUUAUUCGGAAUUACUGGGCGUAAAGCGCACGUAGGCGGCUUUGUAAGUAAGAGGUGAAAGCCCGGAGCUCAACUCCGGAACUGCCUUUUAGACUGCAUCGCUUGAAUCCAGGAGAGGUGAGUGGAAUUCCGAGUGUAGAGGUGGAAAUUCGUAGAUAUUCGGAAGAACACCAGUGGCGAAGGCGGCUCACUGGACUGGUAUUGACGCUGAGGUGCGAAAGCGUGGGGAGCAAACAGG
rnacentral:rRNA from 1 species